rnacentral:rRNA from 1 species
GAUGAACGCUGGCGGCGUGCCUAAUACAUGCAAGUCGAGCGAACAGACGAGGAGCUUGCUCCUCUGACGUUAGCGGCGGACGGGUGAGUAACACGUGGAUAACCUACCUAUAAGACUGGGAUAACUUCGGGAAACCGGAGCUAAUACCGGAUAAUAUAUUGAACCGCAUGGUUCAAUAGUGAAAGACGGUUUUGCUGUCACUUAUAGAUGGAUCCGCGCCGCAUUAGCUAGUUGGUAAGGUAACGGCUUACCAAGGCAACGAUGCGUAGCCGACCUGAGAGGGUGAUCGGCCACACUGGAACUGAGACACGGUCCAGACUCCCACGGGAGGCAGCAGUAGGGAAUCUUCCGCAAUGGGCGAAAGCCUGACGGAGCAACGCCGCGUGAGUGAUGGAGGUCUUCGGAUCGUAAAACUCUGUUAUUAGGGAAGAACAAAUGUGUAAGUAACUAUGCACGUCUUGACGGUACCUAAUCAGAAAGCCACGGCUAACUACGUG